CCUACGGGAGGCAGCAGUGGGGAAUAUUUCGCAAUGGGCGAAAGCCUGACGCAGCGACGCCGCGUGAGGGAUGAAGGUCUUCGGAUCGUAAACCUCUGUCAGCAGGGAAGAACGGUCACUGUCCUAAUCAGCAGUGAGUUGACGUUACCUGCCAAGGAAUCACCGGCUAACUCCGUGCCAGCAGCCGCGGUAAUACGGAGGUUGCGAGCGUUACUCGGAGUUACUGGGCGUAAAGCGCUCGUAGGCGGUAUGUCAAGUCAAGGGUGAAAUCCCCGCGCUCAACGUGGGAACUGCCUUUGAAACUGGCAAACUGGAGUGUGUGAGAGGAUAGUGGAAUUCCAGGUGUAGGAGUGAAAUCCGUAGAUAUCUGGAGGAACAUCAGUGGCGAAGGCGACUAUCUGGCACAUAACUGACGCUGAGGAGCGAAAGCGUGGGUAGCAAACAGGAUUAGAUACCCCAGUAGUC
rnacentral:rRNA from 1 species